UUUGAGUUUUACGAGUGCCUUAUCCCAGGGUUAUCCAAUUUCCUGCGUGUUAUCAGGUGAAGCAGGCUAACGUGUGUGUGUGUGUUAUCAGGUGAAGCAGGCUAACGUGUGUGUGUGUGUUAUUAGGGUGAAGCAGGCUAACGUGUGUGUGUGUUAUCAGGUGAAGCAGGCUAACGUGUGUGUGUGUUAUCAGGUGAAGCAGGCUAACGUGUGUGUGUGUGUGUGUUAUCAGGUGAAGCAGGCUAACGUGUGUGUGUGUAUGUUAUCAGGUGAAGCAGGCUAACGUGUGUGUGUGUAUGUUAUCAGGUGAAGCAGGCUAACGUGUGUGUGUGUGUGUGUGUUAUCAGGUGAAGCAGGCUAACGUGUGUGUGUGUGUGUUAUCAGGUGAAGCAGGCUAACGUGUGUGUGUAUGUUAUCAGGUGAGGUGGGCUAACGUGUGUGUGUGUAUGUUAUCAGGUGAAGCAGGCUAACGUGUGUGUGUGUGUGUGUUAUCAGGUGAAGCAGGCUAACGUGUGUGUGUGUGUGUUAUCAGGUGAAGCAGGCUAACGUGUGUGUGUAUGUUAUCAGGUGAGGUGGGCUAACGUGUGUGUGUGUAUGUUAUCAGGUGAAGCAGGCUAACGUGUGUGUGUGUGUGUUAUCAGGUGAAGCAGGCUAACUCAUGUGUGUGUGUGUGUGUUAUCAGGUGAAGCAGGCUAACGUGUGUGUGUGUGUGUUAUCAGGUGAAGCAGGCUAACGUGUGUGUGUGUGUGUGUGUUAUCAGGUGAAGCAGGCUAAUGUGUGUGUGUGUGCGUGUGUUAUCAGGUGAAGCAGGCUAACGUGUGUGUGUGUGUGUGUGUGUUAUCAGGUGAAGCAGGCUAACGUGUGUGUGUGUGUUAUCAGGUGAAGCAGGCUAACGUGUGUGUGUGUGUGUUAUCAGGUGAAGCAGGCUAACGUGUGUGUGUGUUAUCAGGUGAAGCAGGCUAACGUGUGUGUGUGUGUUAUCAGGUGAAGCAGGCUAACGUGUGUGUGUGUGUUAUCAGGUGAAGCAGGCUAACGUGUGUGUGUGUGUUAUCAGGUGAAGCAGGCUAACGUGUGUGUGUUAUCAGGUGAAGCAGGCUAACGUGUGUGUGUGUUAUCAGGUGAGGUGGGUAACGUGUGUGUGUGUGUUAUCAGGUGAAGCAGGCUAAUGUGUGUGUGUGUGUGUGUUAUCAGGUGUAGCAGGCUAACGUGUGUGUGUGUGUUAUCAGGUGAAGCAGGCUAACGUGUGUGUGUGUGUGUGUGUUAUCAGGUGAAGCAGGCUAAAGUGUGUGUGUGUGUGUGUUAUCAGGUGAAGCAGGCUAACGUGUGUGUGUGUGUGUGUGUUAUCAGGUGAAGCAGGCUAACGUGUGUGUGUGUGUUAUCAGGUGAAGCAGGCUAACGUGUGUGUGUGUUAUCAGGUGAAGCAGGCUAACGUGUGUGUGUGUGUUAUCAGGUGAAGCAGGCUAACGUGUGUGUGUGUGUGUGUUAUCAGGUGAAGCAGGUUAACGUGUGUGUGUGUGUGUGUUAUCAGGUGAAGCAGGCUAACGUGUGUGUGUGUGUGUUAUCAGGUGAAGCAGGCUAACGUGUGUGUGUGUGUUAUCAGGUGAAGCAGGCUAACGUGUGUGUGUGUGUUAUCAGGUGAAGCAGGCUAACGUGUGUGUGUGUUAUCAGGUGAAGCAGGCUAACGUGUGUGUAUGUUAUCAGGUGAAGCAGACUAACGUGUGUGUGUGUGUUAUCAGGUGAAGCAGGGCUAACGUGUGUGUGUGUAUGUUAUCAGGUGAAGCAGGCUAACGUGUGUGUGUGUGUUAUCAGGUGAAGCAGGCUAACGUGUGUGUGUGUGUGUUAUCAGGUGAAGCAGACUAACGUGUGUGUGUGUGUUAUCAGGUGAAGCAGACUAACGUGUGUGUGUGUGUUAUCAGGUGAAGCAGGCUAACGUGUGUGUGUGUGUUAUCAGGUGAAGCAGGCUAACGUGUGUGUGUGUGUUAUCAGGUGAAGCAGGCUAACGUGUGUGUGUGUUAUCAGGUGAAGCAGGCUAACGUGUGUGUAUGUUAUCAGGU